GUCAACGAGACGCACAGGUAUCCCGGACUAAAUCAAACAACAUUACUUGGAUCAAAGUGCAGUGUCCGAUACAGCGAAACAGUUCAGAUUGCGGAUACUAUGUUUUGAGGUUUAUGAAAGAAAUCCUUCAAACGAAUCAAUUAGAGAUUCCAAUCACGUACUUUGACGACUUCUAUGCUGCUUCUUACACGAGACUUAAGUUGGAAGAAAUCAAAGAGGAUUUGUGUC